CUAACUGAGCGGUAAGACCGUUCCAGGUUGUCUUAAGUGUUCCCUUCCAUCUGGUGGGCCAUAGCUUAAGCACUACGAAUCUGGAAGGCUCGCUUUUUUA
rnacentral:ncRNA from 1 species